GGCCCAGGGUGAAUGUGAGCUCCAGCCUUUCCUUCACCCAGCAGAUUUGCAUUCUGCCUCUGAGGAUUUUCUUCACCUUUUUUCCAGAUCAACCAUUUAUUUAAAAAGCUAUAUCAUUACCUCCAGAUAUUGAAAGAGGACAUCUGAACCUGUGUGAUGUUGUAGAAAGAAGAUUGUCUAGGGUGUCAAAGCAGACAGAUGCCAGUUUGUGCUCAUCCUUUACCAGACUGGUGCCUACAGUGAGUCACACUUGUUAAGUACAGUGUGGUAAGUAAGAAUUCAGGUUCCAGAGUCAGACUGCAGCUCCAGUUCCUGAACUGUGUAAUUUGGGAGAGACACUCAGCUUUUCUGAGCCUCCUUAUCCUCAUCCGUAAAAUGAGGACAAUUACUAGCAUUGCUGGAGGAUUAAACAAAAUAAUAAAUAGAAGGCACUUACUUAGCACAGGUCCUGGC
rnacentral:lncRNA from 1 species